rnacentral:rRNA from 1 species
AUUGAACGCUGGCGGCAGGCCUAACACCUGCAAGUCGAACGAGCGGCGGACGGGUGAGUAAUGUCUGGGAAACUGCCCGAUGGAGGGGGAUAACUACUGGAAACGGUAGCUAAUACCGCAUACCAUCGGAUGUGCCCAGAUGGGAUUAGCUUGUAGGUGGGGUAACGGCGCAACUAGGCGACGAUCCCUAGAUGGUCUGAGAGGAUGACCAGCCAAACUGGAACUGAGACACGGUCCAGACUCCUACGGGAGGCAGCAGUGGGGAAGAUUGCACAAUGGGCGAAAGCCUGAUGCAGCCAUGCGGCGUGUGUGAAGAAGGCCUUCGGGUUGUAAAGGACUUUCAGCGGGGAGGCGUUACCCGCAGAAGAAGCACCGGCUAACUCCGUGCCAGCAGCCGCGGUAAUUC